UCUCAGGCUAGGGGUCGAAUUGGAGCUGUAGUUGCCUGCCUACGCCACAGCCACAGCAACACGGGGGUCUGAGCUUUGUCUGUAACCUAGAGCACAGCUCACAGCAAAGCCAAAUAUUUAACCCACUGAGCAAGGCCAAGGAUCUUACUUAUUCAUUUCUUACUCUCUCUCCCAUGUGCCUGACACUGUUUUGAACUCUGUACAAGAGGCUUUUUUUUUUGGAUCUUGUGACCUAGCUGUGUAAUAAAAUGAGUCAAACUUCUGUGUUGACUUAAGCUCAGUGAAUAGCACCAUUACCUGCCCAUCAGAACCUGAAGACAUCCUAGAUUUUUGUCUCUCUUGUGUGUUCAGUGGCCAAUGACAGGUGAAAAUGUUACUAAAUUAAAUGGCAUUCAGGCGAAUGUCUAAAAAUGAUUUUUAUAAAAUAACGAUGAUUUCCAUUCAAGUAGAUCAGUUUAAGUGUGUUACUACAUUAUUGGAAAUCCUUUUCAUUGGUAAUAUAUAUGAACUAAAAAUUACAUAUUAUAAUCUUGAAGUUAGUCAUCAAUUUCUCUGUGUUUAGUGUACUCCCCUGUCAGAAAGAAUAAUUUCAAAACUCUAGGGGCUGUGAGGAUUAAAUGAGUUAAUACACGUAAGUAGAUGGCUUAGAACAGGACAAUAACUUUUGUUCUCAGGUGACAUAGAACCCUCAGGACCACAUUGAAUUCGCAGCGUGCACCUCUUUUGUCAUCACCGUCAUGAUCGCGCUCAUCUUUAUCACUGAUGUCAGCAUCAUCGACGUGAUGUGGCCACCCCCAUCAGUGACCUUGGUCCUCCCAUCCAACCUCUAUAACUAACGCACCCACAUCAUUCACUUCCUUUCUGAAUAUCUAGAGUUCUUGUAAUCAGUUCCACACAUUUCACAUUCAAUUAGAUAUUGUCUUGAUGGGCUUAAAGGUGGUUUUGUUUACUUGGUUUUUGGCAAACCUCGAAUGAUUUUCCUGCCUCUGUCCUUUCUUCUUCCUCAUAAAGUUGUCUUUCAUGUUUUAAUUUUUUACCACUUUCUUAAGCCCACUUAUUGAGAGAAAGGUUAAAUAAUGACUUCUGCUUUCACAUUUCCUCUGAAAUCCAUCCCUCUGAGGUCAUAAUUGGUGUUCCAAUAGCCAAAUGGAUAGACCCACUGGAGCAUUUUACAAUGGUGACCUCCUCCUUAGAGCACUCUCUUUAUUUGAAUAGUGAUGCAUGCCUUUUCUCCCCCCUUUCUUAGGCUAAUGCUGACAAUUCCUAUGCUAUGUCCAUUUUCUUUCCUCGUCUGCUGACCAUCAAAGAAGUCUUGGUGUACCCAGUUCUCUUUGAUCCUGGUGCCCUAAAAGAUGACCUCAUCCUCGUCACAUCGUCAUCUAGGUAUCAUGUUCCUCUCCAGUCUGAGUUACAUACCCUCCUAUAAGGCCCAAGAGCCUCCAGGGCUUAUGUCUCACACAGAAGUCAUGUGUUUCCCUUCUGUCUUCAGCGCAGGCUUGUGACAGCCUUCAAGGCAAGGAUCAUUAUCCUUGUAAUUCGCAUACUUAAUAGAGUGUUUGUUCCAGUGUAGAAUGCAUUAUAUCUGUCUAAUUAGGUCUCCUUGUCUCUGAUUUCAGAUGUGUCAGUAGGCAAAAUAUGACUUUUUACAUCAGCGUAUUCAUUAUUCAUGUCAUAAUUGACCAGUGUGUGUGCUCUCCUUCAGGGCACUUCUUCUUCUUUUUUAAUUUGCUUUUUAGGGCCACAUGGCCAGGCCACACUCGUGGCAUAUGGAGGUUCCCAGGCUAGGGGCUGAAUCAGAGCUACAGCUGCUGGCCUACAUCACAGCCACAGUAAUGUGAAAUCUGAGCCGUGUCUGGACCUACACCACAGCUCAUGGCAGUGCCAGCUCCUUAACCCACCGAGAAUGGCCAGGGAUCAAACCUCCAACCUCAUGGUUACUAGUCGGAUUUGUUUCCACUGAGUUACAAUGGGCACUUCUAAAGCCCAAAGAACUGUACCCUGAGCCACAAGCCUCUGUCCAUUGUGCUAAAACUUAGCUCCUCAUUCAUCCCUUUAUCGAUGAGGCAUCAUUGUUCAAUUUUUCUUCAUACCUCCUCAUUCUGUUUGUGAAACUACAGAGGGAGUGGAGCUGAAUAAAUUUCAGCACAGAUUCUGUCCUCCAUCUGGAAGAACAGACAACCAGGCAAAUGGACAUGAUAUUGAUACAGUAAGUUGAUCCACAGCGCAUUAGGUCCAUGUAUGUCCUCGAGGAAACUCAGCUGAUCUUUAUGACAAUAGCACCUUGUGUAAUUCUGGGCCCAAGAGAGACAAUGCAUGAUUGUUGACCUAAUGAUGAGUGAGUGAAUGGAUGGGUAACGGCUGGCUGGCAGCAGGCCUGGGGAGCAGGUGUCUGGCAGUCUCUGGCUUCCGGGGGUUCCUCUAGGCCCUACGCAGGGAGAUUCUGGAGCCUGGGGCUGGGAGUGUGAGGGCAGUCACCUCAUCCCAGGUUGUGAAAGUGAUGGCUCUGCAUACACGGGCUGGACCUCAGCCCUGGGAAGACACCAUGCCCAGGAUAAAAGGGCCCCAGUGCUGGGUCCUCCAGUCUCCACUGACAGUCCCCACCCUCCACCGACCAGGGGAGUGCUGGGGAAAGGAGGCUCUGGGGGCAGGACUGCAAGAGGGAGGGGCAGAAGGAGCAGGGAGAUGAGAAGGGGUCACUUCCCGGGGUGAGGGGUGGGAUGGAUGCUGCA
rnacentral:lncRNA from 1 species